AGUAACAGGUCGUAGACCCGAAACCAGGUGAUCUACCCAUGUCCAGGAUGAAGGUAAGGUAAUACUUACUGGAGGUCCGAACCCACGCACGUUGAAAAGUGCGGGGAUGAGGUGUGGGUAGCGGAGAAAUUCCAAUCGAACUUGGAGAUAGCUGGUUCUCUCCGAAAUAGCUUUAGGGCUAGCCUCGAGGUAAAGAGUCAUGGAGGUAGAGCACUGUUUGGACUAGGGGCCCUUCUCGGGUUACCGAAUUCAGAUAAACUCCGAAUGCCAUGUACUUAUACUCGGGAGUCAGACUGCGAGUGAUAAGAUCCGUAGUCGAAAGGGAAACAGCCCAGACCACCAGUUAAGGUCCCCAAAUAUAUGUUAAGUGGAAAAGGAUGUGGGGUUGCUUAGACAACCAGGAUGUUGGCUUAGAAGCAGCCACCAUUGAAAGAGUGCGUAAUAGCUCACUGGUCGAGUGACCCCGCGCCGAAAAUGUACCGGGGCUAAACAUAUUACCGAAACUGUGGAUGAACCUCUUUGGAGGUUCGUGGUAGGAGAGCGUUCUAAGGGCGGUGAAGUCAGACCGGAAGGACUGGUGGAGCGCUUAGAAGUGAGAAUGCCGGUAUGAGUAGCGAAAGAAGGGUGAGAAUCCCUUCCACCGAAUAUCUAAGGUUUCCUGAGGAAGGCUCGUCCGCUCAGGGUUAGUCGGGACCUAAGCCGAGGCCGAUAGGCGUAGGCGAUGGACAACAGGUAGAGAUUCCUGUACCAGUGCUAAUUGUUUAACCGAUGGGGUGACACAGAAGGAUAGGGAAUCGCACGAAUGGAAAUGUGCGUCCAAGCAGUGAGUGUGAGAAGUAGGCAAAUCCGCUUCUCGCGAAGCAUGAGCUGUGAUGGGGAAGGAAAUAAAGUACGGAAGUUCCUGAUUUCACGCUGUCAAGAAAAGCCUCUAGGAAGAGUAGUACUGCCCGUACCGCAAACCGACACAGGUAGAUGAGGAGAGAAUCCUAAGGUGAGCGAGAGAACUCUCGUUAAGGAACUCGGCAAAAUGACCCCGUAACUUCGGGAGAAGGGGUGCUCUAUUAGGGUGCAAGCCCGAGAGAGCCGCAGUGAAUAGGCCCAGGCGACUGUUUAGCAAAAACACAGGUCUCUGCAAAACCGUAAGGUGACGUAUAGGGGCUGACGCCUGCCCGGUGCUGGAAGGUUAAGAGGAGUGCUUAGCUUCGGCGAAGGUACGAAUUGAAGCCCCAGUAAACGGCGGCCGUAACUAUAACGGUCCUAAGGUAGCGAAAUUCCUUGUCGGGUAAGUUCCGACCCGCACGAAAGGCGCAACGAUCUGGGCACUGUCUCAACGAGAGACUCGGUGAAAUUAUAGUACCUGUGAAGAUGCAGGUUACCCGCGACAGGACGGAAAGACCCCGUGGAGCUUUACUGCAACCUGAUAUGGAAUGUUUGUACCGCUUGUACAGGAUAGGUAGGAGCCGAAGAGACGUGUGCGCUAGCAUACGAGGAGGCAAUGGUGGGAUACUACCCUGGCUGUAUGACCAUUCUAACCCGCCACGCUUAGCGCGUGGGGAGACAGUGUCAGGUGGGCAGUUUGACUGGGGCGGUCGCCUCCUAAAGAGUAACGGAGGCGCCCAAAGGUUCCCUCAGAAUGGAUGGAAAUCAUUCGCAGAGUGUAAAGGCACAAGGGAGCUUGACUGCGAGACUGACAAGUCGAGCAGGGACGAAAGUCGGGCUUAGUGAUCCGGUGGUUCCGCAUGGAAGGGCCAUCGCUCAACGGAUAAAAGCUACCCCGGGGAUAACAGGCUUAUCUCCCCCAAGAGUCCACAUCGACGGGGAGGUUUGGCACCUCGAUGUCGGCUCGUCGCAUCCUGGGGCUGUAGUCGGUCCCAAGGGUUGGGCUGUUCGCCCAUUAAAGCGGCACGCGAGCUGGGUUCAGAACGUCGUGAGACAGUUCGGUCCCUAUCCGUCGCGGGCGCAGGAAAUUUGAGAGGAGCUGUCCUUAGUACGAGAGGACCGGGAUGGACACACCGCUGGUGUACCAGUUGUUCCGCCAGGAGCAUCGCUGGGUAGCUAUGUGUGGCAGGGAUAAACGCUGAAAGCAUCUAAGCGUGAAGCCCCCCUCAAGAUGAGAUUUCCCAUUUCUUCGGAAAGUAAGAUCCCUGAAAGAUGAUCAGGUAGAUAGGUUUGGAGUGGAAGUGUAGCGAUACAUGGAGCGGACAAAUACUAAUCGAUCGAGGACUUAACCAAAA
rnacentral:rRNA from 1 species